AAGAACACAGAAACCACCGAGGGUGGAGAACUUGGUCUACUUCGACCAGGUAGAUUUCCAUCUGCAAAAGGAAGACAUGGAAAAAAAUGACAUUGCAUGAGUUAUGUUCUCACGCAAUUUUUUCAUGAAAGUUCCUAAAUUAUGUGAUAAGGGUCAAAGCCUUCCUCAACCGGCCACUAAAUGACGUUUUCACAUUGCGACAUUGCAAUUCAUUGGUAUAUAUAAUUAUGCUUUAUAGUUGGCGUUUAAAAGAAGAAAUAUACCGUCAUGGUUUGCGGUACUAGAAAAUGGUUUUUGAUUUGUCAUGUAAUGCUGGAACACUAAUGGCUAAUUAUAUGAUAUCGCCUUUAUUAACGCAUUAUAAUUUAUAUAUUUACUCAAUAUAUUUAUGGGAAAAUAAUUUUUUUGCUAGUAUAUAAGUAGCCUACAAUAUCAUGAUCCUUUCUGUCAUUUGUUUUGCUAUUGUAUUUCACCUUGGGUAACAUAAGAAUUAACUUUCAGAUGAAUUGAGCAAUACCCUACUCAUAAACAAUGUUCAACUUAGGAAUAACAUGAUUUUUUCAUCUAUAAAGUGUGCAUGAAAAUGUUGAUUUUCGUGAAACUAUCAUUGGAAAUACAUUUUGUUAUGCAAAAGAGAAAAGAAAAACAUAAGGUAUAAAUAUCUCAAUUAAUUGUAGAGUUCUAGUUGUUGGAUUUUAAAUAAUAAUAAUAAAACAUUAUAUGUCCUAGAGUAUGAUAUGAGAUUAGUACAUUGAAAAAGCAUUAUAUUUUAAUUAGCCGCUUAAUAAGCUUUGUAGUAAUAAACAAGAUGGAAAUUAUACAGUAUCAGGUGUGCAUAUUCCGUCAUUUUACUAAAGAGUGCAUGUGGAACAAAUUCGACGUUGUUAAGGUAAAAUCUAGAAGUGGCAGUGACAAAAUUUACCUAAAUUGUAUUAAAAGAGUUUGCAUACAAUAAAUUUAACUAUUUUAGUUAUAAUACUUUGUAAAAAUAUUAUAUUUGAGAACAAGGUCAUGCUUUUCAAUGAUGAGUCAAAACAAUAUUGUAUUUUACUUGUGUGAAUGGGAUCUGAUGCCGUCCACGAUGCGCGUGGAAAAUGGCGGUCUCUCUCUAGAAAAGCCUUUGAAGUCAAGCUUGGCUGCUCUGUCAUAAGUUUGUGGGCUCUCUUCUGUGUAUGAUGGUUUUCCAGCACAACGAUUUCCUGGUUGCUCUCUCUGAUAUGUCUGUGUGCUCUUCAACGUCACUCAAUUUCGGGGAACACAGCAUCGUCUUCCACAGGUCUUCCCUCCAUGAUCAACAGCAAACUUUAGCAGCGCCGCCUCCCAUGGCGAUCCUACUAUCAUCCGCCCGGCUCGACAUUUUUGCAGACCCCAGAGAUUAUCUCGAGUCGGGCGGCCUUUCCUUCCCUGCAGUACGGUCAAUUCUCCAGCGUCUCUCUCUCCCUCUCUCUCAAUUUUGUUUUCUUUGUUUUUUCCACGAAAGGAAGUCCGUGCUCAGUUUCUCGGAAAAGUUUUCCUUCAUUGAUGAAAGAUGAACCGGGAAAGAGAGGGGAAACGAAGAAAAGAUCCUUGCGCCCAGAGUUGCAAUUCUUUUGUUAGUGCGGAGAAGUUUCAAAUUUUGUGUUUGAUUCAUGAGGUGGGUAUGUCGAUUUUCCAAGGCAUUUGAUUUCUUGUUUCAUCAUUUUUUAUUUGCGUAAAACAAAGGAUCGAGCAAUAAAAUAAAUAGAACCAUAAAAUAAAUUGGACAUUGGGUAUGCUUAGUUCGAU
rnacentral:lncRNA from 1 species